rnacentral:rRNA from 1 species
CCUACGGGCGGCUGCAGUGGGGAAUUUUGGACAAUGGGCGCAAGCCUGAUCCAGCCAUUCCGCGUGAGUGAAGAAGGCCUUCGGGUUGUAAAGCUCUUUCGCAAGGGAAGAAAACUUACCUUUUAAUAGAGGGUGAGGUUGACGGUACCUUGAUAAGAAGCACCGGCUAACUACGUGCCAGCAGCCGCGGUAAUACGUAGGGUGCGAGCGUUAAUCGGAAUUACUGGGCGUAAAGCGUGCGCAGGCGGUUUUGUAAGUCAGAUGUGAAAGCCCCGGGCUCAACCUGGGAACUGCGUUUGAAACUACAAGGCUAGAGUAUGGGAGAGGGGGGUAGAAUUCCACGUGUAGCAGUGAAAUGCGUAGAGAUGUGGAGGAAUACCAAUGGCGAAGGCAGCCCCCUGGCCUAAUACUGACGCUCAUGCACGAAAGCGUGGGGAGCAAACAGGAUUAGAUACCCCAGUAGUC